GCCGCGAUAGCUCAGUUGGUAGAGCGCCUCCAUGGUAAGGAGGAGGUCCCGGGUUCGAAUCCCGGUCGUG
rnacentral:tRNA from 1 species